AUACGUAGGGGGCAAGCGUUGUCCGGAAUUACUGGGCGUAAAGCGCACGCAGGCUGAAUUAUAAGUCGGUAGUCAAAGGCGGAGGCUCAACCUCUGUAUAUCUAUCGAUACUGUAAAUCUGGAGUAUGUGAGAGGGAAGCGGAAUUCCCGGUGUAGCGGUGAAAUGCGUAGAGAUCGGGAGGAACACCAGUGGCGAAGGCGGCUUUCUGGACUGUAACUGACGCUGAGGCGCGAAAGCGUGGGGAGCAAACAGGAUUAGAUACCCUGGUAGUCCACGCUGUAAACGAUGAAUGCUAGGUGUAGGAGGUAUCGACCCCUUCUGUGCCGGAGUAAACACAAUAAGCAUUCCGCCUGGGGAGUACGGCCGCAAGGUUGAAACUCAAAUGAAUUGGCGGGG
rnacentral:rRNA from 1 species